ACCGCGGGGUCCACCCCUUCGUGGCCAUCUUAGAACGAGGUAAACCCUCAUUACAGAACGAGGACAGAAGAAUGUCUGCAGGUUAAAAAAGAAUAACGAAAUCCUGUUAAAAACUAAUAAGAAUGUGUCCAAGACAUAUUGUAUAGAAGAGCAAAAGCUGCCUGCAGAAUACACCGUGUCAUCCCAUCUGUGUAACAAACUAAAAUAGAAUACCUGCAUGUGUGUGUAAAAGAUCUGGAGGGGCAUCUGGGUGGCUCAGUUAAG